rnacentral:rRNA from 1 species
UGGGGAAUCUUGCGCAAUGGGCGAAAGCCUGACGCAGCGACGCCGCGUGGGUGACGAAGGCCUUCGGGUCGUAAAACCCUGUUGCAGGGGACGAAGGAAGUGACGGUACCCUGCCAGAAAGCCCCGGCUAACUACGUGCCAGCAGCCGCGGUAAAACGUAGGGGGCGAGCGUUGUCCGGAAUUACUGGGCGUAAAGGGCUCGUAGGCGGUAACUCAAGUCAGUUGUGAAAACCGACGGCUUAACCGGAGGAUUGCAGUUGAUACUGGGUUACUUGAGGCAAGGAGAGGAAGGUGGAAUUCCCGGUGUAGCGGUGAUAUGCGUAGAUAUCGGGAGGAACCCCAGUGGCGAAGGCGGCCUUCUGGUCUUGACCUGACGCUGAGGAGCGAAAGCCAGGGUAGCGAACGGG